GACGAACGCUGGCGGCGUGCUUAACACAUGCAAGUCGAGCGGUAAGGCCCUUUCGGGGGUACACGAGCGGCGAACGGGUGAGUAACACGUGGGUGACCUGCCCUCAGCUCUGGGAUAAGCCUGGGAAACCGGGUCUAAUACCGGAUACGACUCCAUGACGCAUGUUGUGGGGUGGAAAGCCUUGUGCGGCUGAGGAUGGGCCCGCGGCCUAUCAGCUUGUUGGUGGGGUGANGGCCUACCAAGGCGACGACGGGUAGCCGGCCUGAGAGGGCGACCGGCCACACUGGGACUGAGACACGGCCCAGACUCCUACGGGAGGCAGCAGUGGGGAAUCUUGCGCAAUGGGCGAAAGCCUGACGCAGCGACGCCGCGUGAGGGAUGACGGCCU
rnacentral:rRNA from 1 species